CGCGCCCGGCUCAGCGGACUAGCGCGCCCGGUCAAGAAUCCUGGGGAACCCGCUCCGCCCCCUGGCUCCAGCGCCCUCCAAUGAUGUCGGCGUACAGAGGGCUGUUCCGCCCAAUCAGGUGUCGGAAAGCCCAGCCAGUCCCCGGGAGUGUAGCCAAUAGAAGGCGACUCCGGCAACACACCCGCCCUGAUCCAUUCGGAACAAACCGCUCCGAGCCCGGUGGUGGGACCGAUCCUGGGGCCCAGAUCAAGCCAAGUCCGGCCAAAGCUGUGUCAAAAAUCUCGAGCUAUUAGAAAGGCAGUUCUGGGAAACAAUGCAAAUACACAGGGUGAUGUCCUUCUCCCCAUCAUCCCAGUGUGAAACUUGUGGUCUCUUAGGAAGAUUCUGGGCUAGGAAAACAACAGAAAGAAAAGUUGUUCUGAUUUCUAACCUCACAUUCAACAAUACUGGGUGUUGGAAUUAAGUUUCGCUGAUUUGCGCUAAGAGAGAUGUGUCACAGUCACCCAUAAGAAGAUAAAUACACCUAAGGAGUUAUUAUUUAUUGUCACAAAAGCAACUAAACAAGUUUCAUGUGAGAGCAUUAUUUGUCCUAAAAUAAGGUGCUAGAAAUCACUCCACUCCGAAGGAUUCCCUUAUCUUCAUAGCCCAGUUUCUCCGACACCGUGUUUAUUCUUAUGAUGACCAUGGAGACAUGAAAAUCUCAUAUCUCCUGCUCAGGGAGCAUAAUCAACCAGGUGUCCCAGCUGCUGUUCUUCUGGGUCUGCCACUGUGUUCAUGUUAAGGCCACAUUUCCCACAGGCUACUCAAGCAGCAACUGAGCAUAACAGGAGAACUAAUGCAGGUCCGUUUCUGGAACACAUGGAACUCCACAACCAAGGGUCAGACCUGCAUGACAGGCUGAAGAGUUCCUUCUCCUCUUCUCCCUUUUACUUGUCCAAUAAAUUUCUUACACAUCUAA